rnacentral:rRNA from 1 species
CCUACGGGAGGCAGCAGUGGGGAAUAUUGCACAAUGGGGGAAACCCUGAUGCAGCGACGCCGCGUGAGUGAAGAAGUAAUUCGUUAUGUAAAGCUCUAUCAGCAGGGAAGAAAAUGACGGUACCUGAGUAAGAAGCCCCGUCUAACUACGUGCCAGCAGCCGCGGUAAUACGUAGGGGGCAAGCGUUAUCCGGAUUUACUGGGUGUAAAGGGAGCGUAGACGGCUGUGCAAGUCUGGAGUGAAAGGGGGGGGCUCAACCCCAGGACUGCAGUGGAAACUGGAAGGCUGGAGUGCAGGAGAGGUAAGUGGAAUUCCUAGUGUAGCGGUGAAAUGCGUAGAUAUUAGGAGGAACACCAGUGGCGAAGGCAGCUUACUGGACUGUAACUGACGUUGAGGCUCGAAAGCGUGGGGAGCAAACAGGAUUAGAUACCCCGGUAGUC